CGCCAGACUCCUACGGGAGGCAGCAGUCGAGAAUCAUUCACAAUGGGGGAAACCCUGAUGGUGCGACGCCGCGUGUAGGAAGACGGUCCUCUGGAUUGUAAACUACUGUCCCCAGGGACGAAGAUGACGGUACCUGCAAAGGAAGCACCGGCUAACUCCGUGCCAGCAGCCGCGGUAAUACGGAGGGUGCGAGCGUUAAUCGGAAUUACUGGGCGUAAAGCGCUCGUAGGCGGUAUGUCAAGUCAAGGGUGAAAUCCCCGCGCUCAACGUGGGAACUGCCUUUGAAACUGGCAAACUGGAGUGUGUGAGAGGAUAGUGGAAUUCCAGGUGUAGGAGUGAAAUCCGUAGAUAUCUGGAGGAACAUCAGUGGCGAAGGCGACUAUCUGGCACAUAACUGACGCUGAGGAGCGAAAGCGUGGGUAGCAAACAGGAUUAGAUACCCGAGUA
rnacentral:rRNA from 1 species